UCGGGAAUUUUGGGCAAUGGGGGAAACCCUGACCCAGCAACGCCGCGUGAAGGAUGAAGUAUUUCGGUAUGUAAACUUCGAAAGAAUAGGAAGAAUAAAUGACGGUACUAUUUAUAAGGUCCGGCUAACUACGUGCCAGCAGCCGCGGUAAUACGUAGGGACCAAGCGUUGUUCGGAUUUAUUGGGUUUAAAGGGUGCGUAGGCGGCCCUGUAAGUCAGUGCUGAAAUAUCCCGGCUUAACCGGGAGGGUGGCAUUGAUACUGCAGGGCUUGAGUACAGAUGAAGUAGGAGGAAUUGACGGUGUAGCGGUGAAAUGCAUAGAUAUCGUCAAGAACACCGAUAGCGAAGGCAGCUUACUAAGCUGUAACUGACGCUGAGGCACGAAAGUGUGGGGAUCAAACAGGAUUAGAUACCCCCGUAGUCCCUGAGCGGGCUGGCAAGGCGCAU
rnacentral:rRNA from 1 species